rnacentral:guide_RNA from 1 species
CCGAAGAGGGCAGUGAUCCCUCGAAGCUUGUGUAUAU